GCCUAGGACUUGCUGAUCAGAAGGUCGGCGGUUUGAAUCCCCGCAACGGGGUGAGCUCCCGUUGUUCAGUCCCUGCUCCUGCCAACCUAGCAGUUCGAAAGCACGUCAAAGUGCAAGUAGAUAAAUAGGUACCGCUCUGGCAGGAAGGUAAAUGGCGUUUCUGUGCACUGCUCUGGUUCGCCAGAAGCUGCUUAGUCAUGCUGGCCACAUGACCUGGGAGCUGUCUGCAGACAAACGCCGGCUCCCUUUGCCUAUAGAGCGAGAUGAGCGUGCAACCCCAGAGUCAGUCAUGACUGGACCUAAUGGUCAGGAGUCCUUAAUUAAGAAGGGAGUUUAUAAGAAUGCCAACACUGCUCAUUAGAAAUGGUGAUUAGUUUUGUGCAUUAGUUUUAUCAAUGAAUUCAAAAUCAAGGGUAUGUCAUAGUAAUUUGUGACAUCUCAUAGCCUCUUUUGCAGGUUAUGGAAGCAACAAUGGAGCGUCUCUGAGCAUGGCUGAGGAAGAGGAGUGUUAAAGCACAAGGAACGAGAUCAGUCUAGAGAUCUCAGUGAAAACCCUCUUAGAGCUACAUGGACUUAAACCAUCUGGGACUGUGGCUUUAUGCUAAGUUGAUUCAUGUGAUAUAGGUUUCAUGUAAUGUGAAUCUUCCACAUGGGUGGAAACUUCUUAGAUGACACUAAGGCUUCAUGCACUUUGUGCGUUGAUUGAUUAUCCAUGGUUAAGAUAUGGGAAGUGAUCCCAUUCCCAUUCCCACAACCAGAUGACUUUGCAGAAAGGCUCAUGAAACUCAGAAUAAUAGUGUGUUUAUUUCUGUAUUUUAUAUCAACUCACACAAAAGCCCAUUAAUUUCAUAUACUCCAAAGGGAAUGCAAUUGACUAACACAAUCUCCUUUGAUCACUCACAUACAUAUUCCAUAAUUUGCAGCCAUUGGUGGCUAUUGCAAGAAUGUGGAGCUAAAUUUAGUCUCUCAGACUGCAGCCCAUGGCUUCCCAGCAUUGUAUCCAGAUUUAUCCAGCUAGAGUGAUUAUUUUCCCCCCAACAAGCUUCCUUAUUUGGUUUUGUACCCCAAAGUAACUUCCAGAAUUAUUGAAGGGGGAACCUUAUAACAGGAUGGCCACAUAUUUAAAGAGACUGAAGGCUUUUGACUUAUCCAGAACUCUCAGGCAAACUGGAGAAUCGAACAAGGAGAACAGAUCUCCUAUAUUAUGUCUCUGGCUAGGCUGUUUCUGAAACAGUGUGACUGCUGACUCAGAGCUCAGAUUUUGGGGUUGACAGUCAUCAGGCAAACCAAGGAAAUAUAUAGCAGAAGGUAAAAAAGGUAACAGCUCCAAAUCAAGCUGUCUAUCCCUCCUUCCUAUACUCUAUCUUUGCAAAGUUAGAACUGAACAAAUAGAAAAGAGAUGGCAAAAAACAUUCUAUUGGCUUAGUGGCAAAUUCUUGUUCAAUUAAAACAAUGUUAUGUUGAUGUUGUUGGUUUUUUUUUUAAAAAACACCUCUUUAAGCAGUCAAUAGAAUAAAGGCAACAAUAUAGCAGCAUCAGACAAAAUUAUCAUAUUUUAAAAAUUGGAAGCAAGCCAACUUAGCAGACAAUCCAAAAUCAGUUCAAUAACACUAUCCGGGUAGGGAGUGGGGAAGAAGAAGGAAUCCAUAGCACUUAAGAUGUCAGCUUGAAAACUCAUCUCUCUCGGCUGUUUGAAUGGUUCAGCUUCUGUAGACGGCAGUCUUCCAUUCUUCCUGUUAUGAAAAGCUCCCCAAGGUUCAAAUGCAUAGGAAGAAGGUGCCCCUUGCUGCUCCCAUCAGCAUAUUUCUGGUCUGUAUUCAUCCAUUCCUCUUCUGGACUGAUCUGCAAUUUUAAAACUGAAAGCAAACACACAUCCACUACAUUUAAAUAUUAUUUAAAUGGUGUUUUCAAUAUGCCUUUUAACAUUAUUUCCCUACACAAAUGCCGAGUGGAGUCCCUAAGAUGGUUGGAUGGCGCCUGGUACACCUCCUUCUGGCAACUCCUGCAGCCAAGCUGCUUUCCUUUGGACCCCAUCAAGGGAGGUCAAGAGGGCCCUCACUUCGUGGAGGAAGUGCUGUGGGGUGGGCCAGAGCUGGAUGGGAAUGGUGAGUCCAGGGCUCUCAUGCGUGCCCCCUACUUGAGUUGCCAUAAGUCCAGGACAGCAGCACAUGAAUAAGGUAAAGGUAAAGGGACCCCUGACCAUUAGGUCCAGUCGUGGCUGACUCUGGGGUUGCGGUGCUCAUCUCGCUUUACUGGCCGAGGGAGCCGGCGUACAGCUUCCGGGUCAUGUGGCCAGCAUGACUAAGCCGCUUCUGGUGAACCAGAGCAGCGCACGGAAACACCGUUUACCUUCCCGCCGGAGCGGUACCUCUUUAUCUACUUGCACUUUGAGGUGCUUUCAAACUGCUAGGUUGGCAGGAGCAGGGACUGAGCAACGGGCGCUCACCCCGUUACGGGGAUUUGAACCGCCGACCUUCUGAUCGGCAAGUCCUAGGCUCUGUGGUUUAACCCACAGCGCCACCUGUGUCCUGCAGCACAUGAAUAGGAGCUGCAAAUUACUGUGUCAAGGUACUGAGAGUUGUUUCUAUUUACAGCUCUGAAAGCCCUGCUUUAAUCUUAGAAAUUUCGGAGACUGCAAAUUCAGCACAGCUCUUGUUGAAAUAUUGGAGCAUAGGUGGCUUAAAUCCCAUUUGAGUGGGUCCUGUUGCAGACUGAAAUAGCAUCUCAAUCUGGCUUACUGAGCGCCUUUCCCCCCUUAAAUUGCCCUGCUCAUCAACAAUUGCCAGUGCUGGAAAGUAUGUGUGGAUGGGUGGAACUGCAAACUGUCCGUAUUUUUCCAAAGGGUGUUAGGAAUGAGCAACAGAGUGAAAUUGAAUCUCAGCUGCUGUUAGCCCGCGGCAAGGAGGGGGUUAGAGAAGAAGGGCUAUCCCUUUCUAUUUAACAUUUAAUUUACAUUCAUUUCAACUUCUGCUGUAAUGAAUGGCUGUUUUCUGUUUUUGGUUCUUGACAAUUAAGAGGACCUCAAAGCAGGUAGGUUGCUUCCCACCCAACAUGAUUACAGACUGUAAUCAUGCCAGUGUGCUUUAUUCCCACCUCGCCCUGUUAGAUUUCACUAGCCAAAGGGAGUUGCUAAUCAGAUGAGAGACAUUCAGGGGGAGGGUGGGAGGUGCAGGAUCCUGCAGCUGAAGCUCUGGAUGGAGCAUGUUAAUUAAUGUGCUAGGCGCACUUUGCAAUACCAUCCGUUUGUUGAAAUGUUCCAAAAGAUCUGCAAAUGCCAUCUUGGUAGUCAAGAUAACCCUACAGUGAAUUGGCAGCUGUUGCAGUAAUGAGCUCCUAUAUGUUUAUAUCCAGUUGCUUUGAUAUAGGGUAACUGCCUUACUUUCAUACAAUCCUAGAGAUCAAAGGAACCUCACAAGUCAUCUAGUCUACCCCCUGCAAUGCAAGAAUCCCAGUUGACGCAGCCAUGAGAGAUGGCCAGCCAAUCACUCCUUAAAAACUUUGACUGAAGGAGAUUCCACCACCUCCUGAGGGGGUCCAUUCCACUUGAAUAGCUCUUACUGUUUUCGCUAUGUUAGCAACACUGAAGUGACUUCUCUGGGGUGUGAGAGUGUGUAAGGAGGUCCUGGGCUGCCCAGACAACAAGACCCUCCUCUCGGCCUCGUUGGUAUGGUCCAAAUGAAAGCAAAGCAAUACGUUUGGCACCAGCUUGGCUGCAGAGUUGCAGCCAAUGAUCUUAGGCAGUCCUUAGCCCAGGCUUCCUCAAACUCGGCCCUCCAGAUGUUUUUGGCUACAACUCCCAUGAUCCAUAGCUAGCAGGACCAGUGGUCAGGGAUGAUGGGAAUUGUAGUCUCAAAACAUCUGGAGGGCCGAGUUUGAGGAAGCCUGCCUUAGCCCUUUCUUCUCCCAAAGAUAUCCUGCAAGGCAGCAGGUACAGACUGCUCCUCAGGGUUUACUCCCAAAGCCUUUCUCACGAAUGAGUAUAGCCAUGGAACAAUGGUGAUUUAGGAUCAGAGUUUUCCUUCUAUAUGGGCUACCUUCCCAGUGGACGAGCCCCACCUGCCCCUUGCUUCCCUCUGCAGCACAUACAGAAACUGCCUUCUUUACCACUGGACCGACUAUUGGUCUUGUCCACGCAAUCCACGGGAGCAUGUCUUAGCCUUAACUCACAAGGGUUUGAGACCCAUCAGCUCCCCUUACCUGGUUUAGCCAGCCAGCUAAAGCCAUUUUCCAGGGUGUCGUAUACUGACAGCUUCUGGGAGCCACAGGUGAGAGCUGAGAGCAGGGUGGGGACCAAAGGUUGACAAGCUACCCCAAGAAUGAGCACAACAUGCCCCUCCCCAGAGGUACUCCUCGUCCUCUAACCCCCCCCAUACACCCAUGUAUGUAUAGACUACAUAUUCUAUUACCCUUGAACAGGGACUUCUAGGCCUCUCUCACAAAGGCAAAAGUUGCAGUUGCAUAAGUACUUUAGAAAUAACUUCAGUGGCUCUCGAAUACUGAAGAAACCCCUUCCAAAGUAGAAUUAUGAUUCUGCCUAGGAUUGUUGGACCUUCACAGCUCAUUCUUGAUCUCAGUCUGUUUUUAUAGGAUUUACAUAAAGAAUUUAGACGAACACAAACCACAUAUUUCUGGUCAAUGAUCGCAAUGUUAAGUGUUGUGGGGUGUUUUCCUUCGUAUUUGAGAAUAUCAGGUACAUUCUUGUGGGGGAGGAAAGAAAACAUGGGAGCUUGGUAGCCAUCAUGUUACUCAUUUGAGACACUGGAACUGGCUGUUCUAAGAAACCACAUUGCAGUUUCCUUAUUUUUCAACCCUAUGCUGACUUUAUGGAAUGCGAUCUUAUUAUUUGCACUUUAAUUGCAAGUUUAUCGACACCUGCAUCUGCAGCAUAAAAUUACUCCCUUGGAAACGCUUUCUCACAAAUAUGUUACUGGAGCUGUGUGGAAAGAUACAAACUGCUCCACAAACAAGCCUAGCAGCCUGUACUGAACUGUACCAAGUGUAUUGUAUAUGCCGGGCUAAGUUGUAAUUAAUAUCCCUGACCCACAAACCUCCAUUUUACUGGAGGAAAACAAUUGUGUAAGCACUACAGCUGUCCUUUAUAAGUUUCUGGGAUCAUGACAAGUUUAAACAUGAACUUUGUCCUGCAUUAGACAGUCAUUAGGAACACACACUUGAGGAGAAUAUGGAAACUGCUGUUUGCAGAGCCAUUCAAUAUGCAACAGACAAAAGUAAUCAAAAUCUAUCUAGUUUUUAUUGAUUCCAAACAGCAACCAUCCAGAUGCAUCUGUAAAGACAUGGAUGUGGAGAGUUUCCCAGUCCAUUGUUGCCUUGAGUAGGAGAAGUGGGAAGCAAACUUUCAUGGCAUUUCAUAACAUGUGUUUAGUAGAAACCCUCACUUCUCAUCAAGGUCAAGGAAUGAGGUGGGAAUGAAGUGGGGGGAAAUGGGUGGAAAAGCUUAAUAUCAGGAUUUAAAGAAAUUUCCAUCCUCCUUUUGACCUUCUCUCAUAUCCUCUCAUUUCUUCACUUGAUUACUUGUCCUCUGGCGCUGUGGGUUAAACCACUGAGCCUAGGACUUGCCGAUCGGAAGGUCGGCGGUUCGAAUCCCCGCGACGGGGUGAGCUCCCAUUGCUGGAUCCCUGCUCCUGCCAACCUAGCAGUUUGAAAGCAUGUCAAAGUGCAAGUAGAUAAAUAGGUACCGCUCCGGUGGGAAGGUAAACGGCAUUUCCGUGCGUUGCUCUGGUUCGCCAGAAGCGGCUUAGUCAUGCUGGCCACAUGACCCGGAAGCUGUACGCCAGCUCCCUCGGCCAAUAAAGCGAGAUGAGCGCCGCAACCCCAGAGUCGGUCACGACUGGACCUAAUGGUCAGGGGUCCCUUUACCUUUACU
rnacentral:lncRNA from 1 species